rnacentral:tRNA from 2 species
GCGGAUGUAGCCAAGUGGAUCAAGGCAGUGGAUUUGUGAUC